CCUCCCGAUGGUGCCUUUUUAAGGCACUUCUCUCUGCACCUAUUUCCAGCCAGCUCCUUCCAGAGACUCUCUGUAAACAACCCCAGCUGCUCCAACCAGACUCUUGGCUAUGGAGAGAACGAUCUCUGCCUGCCUGGGAGCCAGGGUUUGUUGAGAGGACGGGAACAUAGCCUGCUCCUCUCUACCCGCUUUAAUGGAAGGCUGGAAGGAGGAAUGACAGAGGUCCCGGACAUUCCGCCCCCCACCCCUCCUCAGAGAACUGACCCUGUCCUGAAACACCUUCUCGAAGAAGCAGAGCUCUCGGCAUCCCCCACCGUGAAUCGCACAGGACUGGCACACCAGCUACACUCCAUUUGCCAAGCUUUACCCAGACUGUUUCCUCCUUCCCUCCAGUAGGCAGGAUGCCAGCAUCUGCUCGCCCCUCAAGGGUUGCCUUGUUAGGACACUUCUGUGUUUCCCUCCUGGGUAAGAUAUUUCUAUUUAAAGCGCAGAGACUAUUUGUACACGGAAAAUGGACCUGACGUUAGAUGUUUUCAUAAGUCAGGUAAGCAGGAAGACAGUCCAAUAUGACAAAGAACACAGACUCUGGUGCUACAAGCUGCUCUGCUCCUGAGACUGACUGUCUAGUCCUUGGAUAAAUACCCAAGAACCUGGUUAUUUGUCUCCUCGAAGAAGCAGAUUUAUACUGACAUGAUGACAUGGGACGACUUUUGAUUUUUUUUUUCCUGCCUGGCCAGUAUCACUGACUGAACAUCUCAAAAGAAAAGGACAGACAGUCCCUGUAUUCUGCUGGGUCCGCCACCUCAAAGCAGCAGCUGAUCAUUUUCUCCAGGCUCUUCUCAGUCUUGGAAGGCAGACUAAAUACUUUGCUGCCCGGCCACAUGAAGAUGGAAACCACAUCUUUUGAUUAAUUAAAAGCAAAAGGUUGGAACUCCGUA